CCGAAAGAUGGUGAACUAUGCACAACCUUAGGUCGACCCGCUGAAUUUAAGCAUAUCAAUAAGCGGAGGAAAAGAAACUAACCAGGAUUCCCUUGGUAACGGCGAGUGAAGAGGGAAGAGCCCAGCACCGAAGCCUGCGGCAGUUUUGCUGUUAGGCAAUGUGGUGUGUGGGUCGGCUCGCGGGACCAUCACUCCACUCGAAGUCCAGCAUUGAGUAUGGCAUCACUGGAUUUGGCCCAUAGAGGGUGAAAGGCCCGUACGGGUGGAGGUUCAGACAUGUGAGAUGGUUCACCAGGCCGGCCUCAGAGUCGGGUUGUUUGAGAUUGCAGCCCAAAGAGGGUGGUAAACUCCAUCCAAGGCUAAAUACUGCCACGAGUCCGAUAGCGAACAAGUACCAUGAGGGAAAGUUGAAAAGUACUCUGAAGAGAGAGUAAACAGUACGUGAAAUUGUCGAAAGGGAAGCGCUUCAGUCAGAUAUGGCUUUGAAUGUUCAGCCUUUAGGUGUAUUCAUUUUUUGUCAGGCCAGCAUCGAUUUUGAACGUCGGAUAAGGGUAGAAAGAACGUAGCAUACUCUCGGGUAUGUGUUAUAGCUUUUUACUGGAUACGACGAUCGGGAUCGAGGUUCGCAGCACACCCUUUUUUGGGCAGGUCUUCGGACACUUUUUGUGCUUAGGAUGCUGGCGUAAUGGCUUGAAGCGACCCGUCUUGAAACGCGGACCAAGAGCGAGCAAGUCGUGUCCUCCUGGUGCGUUGCUGUGUUGGGUGGGCGCGAUCGCAGGCGGAGUGGGUGAACGGCGCAGUGGUGCCUCGGUACUGCCGCGUGCUAUCGUGCACUCCCCGUCGUAAGCGGUUAGUGGGUUUGACUAAGUGCUGUGACUACUUGCCCAUUAGCCGGCAGCUCGCAGUGGUGAAAGUGACUGUGCAGGGCACCGGAGUUGUCCACCUCAUUCAAUAUGGUAUCCGGCACGCACGUUACAGGUGCUGAGGAAUCGGGAUGCGCCGCUGUCUGCCUGGUGUUGGGCCUGACUGUCGUGUUGCCUGCGCAAAGUGGGUCCGGCGGUGGUUUCGAUGCUUGGUAUUGGCAGUGUGCCGCGUGUCUCGGGUGUCUGUGGUACCGGGGGUGAAAUAGUCAGUGGUGCUGUGGUAGACGAGCUACCCGACCCGUCUUGA
rnacentral:rRNA from 1 species